rnacentral:rRNA from 1 species
UGCUUGUGCAGCGACAACGUACCCGUCCAUGCCUCUUCAUUGUUUGAUUCAAGUGCUUUAUUGCCUUGGUCGUAUCGGGUUGCCUGUGUUGUGUACCAUUAUUGAAGGCAUUGGUUUGGCUAAAAAUAUCCCGUCUCCUCUUAGUGCCGUUGACCACGUGUUUGUGGCACGAGGGGGAACCCAAAAGCAGUCGACGUGUAUCCACUUCUUUUUCGUGCGUGCAUGAAGGGAAUUUGGCCCAUGUCGGCUUGCUCGAUCUCUCGGUUGCGGUGCAUAAUUCGGGUACGAGGCCCUCGAGCCUCUGUUCUGCCCAUAAAAUAAGCGUUCUACGCUUCAUGCGAACGACACUCGUCAUCGUUUUGGUCGGGUCCUCGUGACUCGACUCAUGCGUUGCGGCGUCGAUGAAGGAAUGCUACCUGGUUGAUCCUGCCAGUAGUCAUAUGCUUGUCUCAAAGAUUAAGCCAUGCAGGUGGUAAGUACCACUCAUGCACCCUUUACGACGUCUUAAAAAAAAUACGGGGUGGGCAUUAUUAUUUAAACGGGGGGGAGGUUUUGUUAUUCAUUUUUUUUGG